AUUGAACGCUGGCGGCAGGCUUAACACAUGCAAGUCGAGCGCGCGGCGGACGGGUGAGUAAUGUAUGGGAAACUGCCUGAUGGAGGGGGAUAACUACUGGAAACGGUAGCUAAUACCGCGUACCAUAGGAUGUGCCCAGAUGGGAUUAGCGAGUGGGUGGGGUAAGGGGUCACCUAGGCGACGAUCCCUAGCUGGUCUGAGAGGAUGACCAGCCACACUGGAACUGAGACACGGUCCAGACUCCUACGGGAGGCAGCAGUGGGGAAUAUUGCACAAUGGGCGCAAGCCUGAUGCAGCCAUGCCGCGUGUUUGAAGAAGGCCUUCGGGUUGUAAAGCACUUUCAGCGAGGAGGCGUUACUCACAGAAGAAGCACCGGCUAACUCCGUGCCAGCAGCCGCGGUAAUAC
rnacentral:rRNA from 1 species